AUUGAACGCUGGCGGCAGGCUUAACACAUGCAAGUCGAGCGGAGAUGAGGUGCUUGCACCUUAUCUUAGCGGCGGACGGGUGAGUAAUGCUUAGGAAUCUGCCAUUUAGUGGGGGACAACAUUCCGAAAGGAAUGCUAAUACCGCAUACGUCCUACGGGAGAAAGCAGGGGAUCUUCGGACCUUGCGCUAAAUGAUGAGCCUAAGUGGGGUUAGCUAGUUGGUGGGGUAAAGGCCUACCAAGGCGACGAUCUGCAGCGGGUCUGAGAGGAUGAUCCGCCACACUGGGACUGAGACACGGCCCAGACUCCUACGGGAGGCAGCAGUGGGGAAUAUUGGACAAUGGGCGGAAGCCUGAUCCAGCCAUGCCGCGUGUGUGAAGAAGGCCUUUUGGUUGUAAAGCACUUUAAGCGAGGAGGAGGCUACCUAGAUUAAUACUCUGGGAUAGUGGACGUUACUCGCAGAAUAAGGACCGGCUAACUCUGUGCCAGCAGCCGCCGCAGUAA
rnacentral:rRNA from 1 species